rnacentral:misc_RNA from 1 species
GAUGCCUUGACCAGAGCUACUAGAAAGUCUUUUAAUCGCCACAUUUUUCCCGUCUUGUAGUGUUCCCUUAUAAACUGGACCAUAGCCCCCUUGCCCAAGUUUGUUCUCUAUGUCAAAGUUGUUGGUUGCAACUAAUAUGCUAUGGAAGUCAAAUAAAGGCAACUCUACUGACUCUUCAUCUUCNNNNACAUGAUUGGUUGUGAAUUUUCUCUUGAAAUGUCAAUUGGAGCAUUUCUUUUAGCUUUUUGUUUGGCUUUCCACUUCAUGAAACAAUAAAUCAUGACACCAAAGAGGGCAAUGAUUGUAACAGCAAUGACGCUGAUAAUGAUCUUUACUUUAGUCUUCUGAUCGCUUUCACCCAAUUCUGUAUGUGCAAGACGGAGAUUAAGAUCUUGUCCACCAAAGGGUAACACGUGCAUAUCCAGAAGGUUUCCUG